rnacentral:rRNA from 1 species
GUGGGGAAUAUUGGACAAUGGGCGAAAGCCUGAUCCAGCCAUGCCGCGUGUGUGAAGAAGGUCUUCGGAUUGUAAAGCACUUUAAGUUGGGAGGAAGGGCAGUAAGUUAAUACCUUGCUGUUUUGACGUUACCGACAGAAUAAGCACCGGCUAACUUCGUGCCAGCAGCCGCGGUAAUACGAAGGGUGCAAGCGUUAAUCGGAAUUACUGGGCGUAAAGCGCGAGUAGGUGGUUUUGUAAGUUGGAGGUGAAAUCCUCGGGCUCAACCUGGGAACUGCCUCCAAAACUGCAUGACUAGGGUACGGUAGAGGGUAGUGGAAUUUUCUGUGUAGCGGUGAAAUGCGUAGAUAUAGGAAGGAACACCAGUGGCGAAGGCGACCACCUGGACUGAUACUGACACUGAGGUGCGAAAGCGUGGGGAGCAAACAGGAUUAGAAACCCGAGUAGUCC